AUAUGUGUAGAGUCAUACUGUCAUACAUUGACACGGCACAGGAAGAGGCAGUACUGCCUACAGUAGCCUUCUGACGAUCAGGGAUAUAUCAAUGCUAACUCCUUUUACAGCACCCGUUCUAUCGCCUUCAAUGCCUUGGCUGGUAAUGGCUAAUGGAUUAUUUUAAUAUGACUGGAUGAAAGUCUCUGGAGGACGUCAGAGGAUAUCCUACUCCUCCUAGGAGUUAGCCUGAUGACUCUUCUUUGUUACCAAAUCUGAUUUCUGAUUUGAUGGAGACAGACGUGAAAGCACAGAGGAACAACUGGAGAAAUUUCUGAAACGCUCGUUCGUUGCUGUCGUUACUGCGUGGUCAGGAAUCUUCCGGAGGGUAGGCCUCAAAAUCCCCGGCUUUGUCUGCUGUUGGCGACCGAGAUUGAGGUCGAAUCGUUCGGACAGAGAUGGCGCUCAGUACUCGGUGUCGGAGAGCUGAUUCAGAGGCUCGAAGUUUCCGGAUGACUCAGAGUCGGACUGUGGUCGGGCAUGGCAGGGAGAGUUUUUCUUCCUUCUCCCGUCUGCGUGAGGUGUGGGACAUUUGAGAGACUUUGAACUUUUACUGUGCUCAUGGACUUCUUAAUCAAGUUAUGGUAUUGUUGUACUGUUGUAACUAUAUGUUAUAAUUAUGUGGUUUUGUCAGUUUUUUCAGUCUUGGUCUGUCCUGUGUUUUGUGAUAUCACACCGGAGGAAUAUUGUAUCAUUUCUUACUGCAUGCAUUACUAAGUGACAAUAAA